GACGAACGCUGGCGGCGUGCUUAACACAUGCAAGUCGAACGGUGAAGCGCCUUCCUUUUUGGUGGGUGUGGAUGAGUGGCGAACGGGUGAGUAACACGUGAGUAACCUGCCCCCUUCUUCUGGAUAACCGCAUGAAAGUGUGGCUAAUACGGGAUAUUCUGGGUCUGUCGCAUGAUGGGUCUGGGAAAGAUAUUGUUUCGGUGGGGGAUGGGCUCGCGGCCUAUCAGCUUGUUGGUGGGGUGAUGGCCUACCAAGGCGGUGACGGGUAGCCGGCCUGAGAGGGUGGACGGUCACACUGGGACUGAGACACGGCCCAGAAUCCUACGGGAGGCAGCAGUGGGGAAUAUUGCACAAUGGGCGCAAGCCUGAUGCAGCGACGCCGCGUGAGGGAUGGAGGCCUUCGGGUUGUGAACCUCUUUCGCAAGUGAAGCAGGCCUGCCUCGUUUGUGGGUGGGUUGACGGUAGCUGGAUAAGAAGCGCCGGCUAACUACGUG
rnacentral:rRNA from 1 species